AAGUAGAAUCUGCAGUUGUGUUAUGCGGUGAAGAUCUUUUUUUGUUCUUCAAUGAUUUCAUCUGAUCUUUUAUUUGCUUUUCUAUCUGCACUCGCAUUUGCUCUUGCAUUUGCUCCAUGUCUUGUUUCAUUUUGAUCCGGUUUUGCUCUAAUAUUUGUUCAACUUCAUCUAAAGAAAAACAUAGUUUGAGAAGGUCCUCCAGGAUGAGCUGAUGUGCAUGAGAAAGAAGUAGUU
rnacentral:lncRNA from 1 species